GAAAGAACUCUGAUUGCCCUGACUGUGGUCAUUAGCCAUUCUCCUAACUAUCACUAGGGUCAGAGGAGUGCAGACAGACAGCGCUUACUCAGAGGGGGACGGGAUGAGGAACAAUACUCCUAAAAGAAGGUGGCUGCAUUUCCACCGAGAAGCGGACAAGUUCCAGGCAGACACCACAAUGAACAUCCACCAAGAGAAACCCGAUUUAACACAACAGUGGAUGCCAUGGCACUGUGAUAAUUACAGUUGCUUCUGCAAGCUAUUUAUAUGCCUUCCUCCCUGGUUACAUUUCUGGAAUCUUGGAAACAGAGACAAUGCCUUUGUUAUGGUCCUUUCUCCUAUGCUAGCAGAGUCUGGGGCACACGAGGCUGUGAAUAGUGCCUGAAUAAAUGAAUGAACAAAGAAACUCGCUCCCGCUUGUGCACAGUCCAGGAGCUUUGCCCCAACUAGUGCUGUCACAAGUCAUGUGACAACAACCAGGGGAAUGUUCCCAUUAACAGAGACGGUGGGACGCCAAGGCAUGCUCCCACCUCCAGCCUCCCAUCAUUGUUGUAACAUCUUUGGACACCUCCCUCCUUCUCCCAAGGAAAGCCACAGCCCUGUGAGUGACCAGAGGCAACAGAACAAAGACCGGAUUCUCAGUUUCCUGAUUCCCUCGCACAGCACGGUCUCUCUGCAGGGAGUCUGGGAAUCCUGACACUGCCUGGAUGGAGUGUCCACACCAGUGGCUAAAGAGACAAGGUCGCUGGUUGUGUCGCCCGGAGUGGAGUCAAUGGUGUAAUCAUAGUUCACUGCAGUCUCAAACUCCUGGGCUCAAGCAAUCAUCCCACCUCAGCCUCCCAAGUAGCUAGGACUACAGGGGUGGGUCACCAUGCCCAAC
rnacentral:lncRNA from 1 species